UACGGAGGAUGCAAGCGUUAUCCGGAAUGAUUGGGCGUAAAGCGUCCGCAGGUGGCAAUGUAAGUCUGCUGUCAAAGCGUCUGGCUCAACCAGAUAAAGGCAGUGGAAACUACAUAGCUAGAGUAAGGUAGGGGUAGAGGGAAUUCCUGGUGUAGCGGUGAAAUGCGUAGAGAUCAGGAAGAACACCGGUGGCGAAGGCGGCCUGCUGGGCAGUUGCUGACACUGAGGCGCGACAGCGUGGGGAGCAAACAGG
rnacentral:rRNA from 1 species